rnacentral:rRNA from 1 species
UUGCUCUUCAACGAGGAAUGCCUAGUAAGCGCAAGUCAUCAGCUUGCGUUGAUUACGUCCCUGCCCUUUGUACACACCGCCCGUCGCUACUACCGAUUGAAUGGCUCAGUGAGGCCUUCGGACUGGCCCCAGGAGGUCGGCAACGACCACCCAGGGCCGGAAAGUUGGUCAAACUUGGUCAUUUAGAGGAAGUAAAAGUCGUAACAAGGUUUCGCCCAACCCGGAAGCCUUGUGCAUAGCAGUCUGUCGUUAUUGGCAGGCGACGCUUGAUUGAUGCUGGGAGAAGCCCCCCUCGCGAGACUUAACCAGCAGCCGUUAUGUCCAACAUUUCGGCCCACAGAUCAUCUUCAGGCGGUCUCCCUUGUCCGAGGGAUUAAGAUAUGACCGGUCCCACCUCGCAAUGGGUGGAAGCCAUGUUCCGUAGGUGAACAGGUUUGCCUACUGCAUUGGUCACAAUGCGCGGUCUGCACCAGAAGAGUGCAGGCAACAUCGUUUAAAUGUUGAGCGUCCUUGGCGUUUGCCUCGAACAAUCGGCAGCCAGAGCCGUGUUGCCUGGCCCACAGAUCACCCGACGAUGGCCCNAAGUGGUUAAGAUAUGAUCGGUCCCUGCCUGAAAAGGCGCCGGAGGCGCGGAACCUGCGGAAGGAUCAUUACCGAGAGCCUGGGGUCUAACCGGCCCCACUCUUCACCCGUGUCUACGAAAACAACGUUGCUUUGGCGGGCCAGGGCCCGGUCCCUGGUUGAGCGUUCUGAACCUUCACCCCGUGCCCGCCGAAGGUUCAACCAAAAACCCUGUUAUCAGUGUGGUCGGAGUAAACAUAAAAUAAUCAAAACUUUCAACAACGGAUCUCUUGGUUCCCGCAUCGAUGAAGAACGCAGCGAAAUGCGAAAACUAAUGUGAAUUGCAGAAUUCCGUGAAUCAUCGAGUCUUUGAACGCACAUUGCGCCCUUUGGUAUUCCGAAGGGCAUGCCUGUUCGAGCGUCAUUGCACCCCUCAAGCAUUGCUUGGUAUUGGGCUUCGCCCCUGUGGCGGGCCUGGAAUUCAGUGGCGGUCCAGCGAGACUUCAAGCGUAGCAAGAUUUCGCGAUCCCGCUUUGGAAGGUUCCUGCUGCGUGCCGGCCAGAUAACCACAAUUUCUUUCAAUGAUUGACCUCGGAUCAGGUAGGGAUACCCGCUGAACUUAAGCAUAUCAAUAAGCGGAGGA